GGCCCGGUGGUACACAUUGUAAGUUUGGGUGGGCGCCCGGCUGCGGUGCCGACCGCAAUAAGAAAUACAAGUCCUUUGGUUUGCCACGCCGGGGGGCCGCGGUUCGAGUCCGCGGCGGGCAA